CCUACGGGGGGCAGCAGUAGGGAAUGUUUCACAAUGGGCGAAAGCCUGAUGGAGCAAUGCCGCGUGAAUGAUGAAGGUCUUAUAGAUUGUAAAAUUCUUUUAUUGGGGAAGAAAAACUAAAGUAGGAAAUGACUUGAGUCUGACUGUACAAUGGGAAUAAGCAGCGGCUAACCAGGUGCCAGCAGCCGCGGUAAUACAUAGGAUGCAAGCGUUAUCAGGAUUUACUGGGCGUAAAACGAGCGCCGGCGGGUUCACAAGUUUGGUUUGAAAGGCUUUUGCUUAACGAAAGUUUUUAUCACAAACUUUUAAUCUAGAGUGUAGUAGAGCUUUCUGGAUUUCCCUGUGGAGCGG
rnacentral:rRNA from 1 species